rnacentral:rRNA from 1 species
UACGAGGGGGGCGAGCGUUGUUCGGAAUUAUUGGGCGUAAAGCGUGCGCAGGCGGUUUUGUAAGCCAGAUGCGAAAUCCCCGGGCUUAACCUGGGAAUGGCAUUUGGGACUGCAAGGCUUGAGUGCGGCAGAGGAGACUGGAAUUCCUGGUGUAGCAGUGAAAUGCGUAGAUAUCAGGAGGAACACCGAUGGCGAAGGCAGGUCUCUGGGCUGACACUGACGCUCAUGCACGAAAGCGUGGGGAGCAAACAGG